CUCGACAAGUCCCAAAUAGGACGAAACGCGCGUCCUGGAU
rnacentral:hammerhead_ribozyme from 1 species